UACGUAGGGUGCGAGCGUUGUCCGGAAUUAUUGGGCGUAAAGAGCUCGUAGGCGGUUUGUCGCGUCGACUGUGAAAACCCGAGGCUUAACCUCGUGCCUGCAGUCGAUACGGGCAGACUAGAGUUCGGUAGGGGAGACUGGAAUUCCUGGUGUAGCGGUGAAAUGCGCAGAUAUCAGGAGGAACACCGGUGGCGAAGGCGGCGACCUGGGUUGACAUUGACGCUGAGGCGCGAAAGCGUGGGGAGCAAACAGG
rnacentral:rRNA from 1 species